rnacentral:misc_RNA from 1 species
GAUGAAGAACGUAGCGAAACGCGAUAGGUAAUGUGAAUUGCAGAAUUCAGUGAAUCAUCGAAUCUUUGAACGCACAUUGCGCCCCUUGGUAUUCCAUGGGGCAUGCCUGUUCGAGCGUCAUUUGUACCUUCAAGCUCUGCUUGGUGUUGGGUGUUUGUCUCGCCUCUGCGUGUAGACUCGCCUCAAAACAAUUGGCAGCCGGCGUAUUGAUUUCGGAGCGCAGUACAUCUCGCGCUUUGCACUCAUAACGACGACGUCCAAAAGUACAUUUUUACACUCUUGACCUCGGAUCAGGUAGGGAUACCCGCUGAACUUAAGCAUAUCAAUAAGCGGAGGA